GCAAAAAUUGGGGAUGCGAGAUGUCAUGGGAGGCAUCCUGGAAGCCCUCCUCGAGCUGGGACUAUAUUAAGGUAGUAGCAAACUAUACCUUGGAACCCUACGUUCCUGGUGGGGUAUCCGUGCCAGAAUGUGCCUAUAACUGGUGCCACCCACUCUGUGUCACUUUCACUGAGCCGGGAAAGAUGGCCAAAGAAUGGGUGAAAGGAUAUACUUGGGGCCUUAGGUUUUAUAAAGACGGUUAUGAUGUGGGAUUACUGCUCACCGUCAAGUUACAAAUAGAAGCUCCUUGUACCCCAGAUGUAUAAAAAGUGUGUACUUUAGCUAUGGGAGGUCACCACUGUCUUAUGGGCAGGACGGCCCCAGCUUACUGGAUCAUUAAACCUCUUGCUUGAU
rnacentral:lncRNA from 1 species